AGGUAUGAGGACAGUUUGUCCCAGGACACGCCUCCUCGUGGGUCACUAAGGUGAGUGUGGCUGAUCAGGCUGGCUAGGCAAGUGUCUCCUUCCUAUUUCAGCAUUCUGGGUGCUUCCUGCUUCCUGCUCUAAGUGGCCAACCUCCUGGAGAGAGCCAAGAGCAUGCAAGUAAGUGCACUCCUCUGCUAGGAUCUCCAAACAAACUCUCAGAAGCAGCCUCAGGAGGAGCUUCAGGAAAGAGAGAUAGGCCCACUGGGGGGCUGUGUUGGAACCUCCACCCAUCAGACCCC
ensembl:misc_RNA Gm22014 predicted gene, 22014